UUUUGUACUGACAUCGCAGUGUGCUUUUGUGUCCUAUAAAACUAUUUCAUCUGACAUGGAUUCUCUUACUGGUUUUACUGGUCUGAAGACUGGGGAAUUUGCACAGGCAAUUUUUUAACAUAGAAGCUAGAGGCCACCGGAGUCUGGCCACAAUCAAACAGACACAAAGCAAGUGAUGAUUUUAUUUCCAAGAUGGAAGGCGCCUUAAAUCAAACGACGGGAAGUUGCAGGAAAGUUCUCAACAAACGCAGACAUGCAGAUCGUUGGAGUCGUCUCCGAGCGUGUCGUCGUAAAGAUAAGAGACUGUCUGGAGCUCUGCGUGUUUCCUGUUAGGUAGCAGUCCGCCGGCGUUAAGAUGGAGCCAGCCCGAUUAGCCGGCUCUACCGGCUUCAGGCGGCAAAGGGCUUGAGUUGAGUGUUCAUCUGAAGACCGUACCUUCUCCUUCAGGAUAGUCAUUUUCAAAACUCUUCAGAAAGAGCGCAGGCACGGCGCGUCGAUUUGAAAACAGCAAUUAAACUGCACCCCAGCCCAGCUUAUCUUCCCGGUGGUCUAAUUACAUUCCUGUGGGAUGUAUGCAAAUCUCUCUGCUACGCUGCUGACUCUGUGGAGACCAGCUAUAAAAAAAAGGCCUGUUUGUGAUCACUUUGGACAAAAGCGUCUUUACUGCUAAGUAAAGAAAUUCAAUAAAUGUAAA